GACUGCACCUCCUUAUGUCCCCUCAGGCUGUCACCGUGCCUACUGUGGAGAUGGUCACCGGCAUGAGGGUGUGGAGGACUGUGACGGCUCUGACUUUGGCUACCUGACAUGCGAGACCUAUCUCCCUGGGUCAUAUGGAGACCUGCAAUGCACCCAGUACUGCUACAUCGACUCCACGCCCUGCCGCUACUUCACCUGAGGGCCGUGAGGAGAAGGUGGGCUGCGCCCCACAGAACUGGCAGCAGCUUCUCCACUGUCAUCAAACUGGCCAUGUCCUGGCCCCGUCUCCACCAACCUUUGUGUGACAAAAACAAGGACAAAUUCCUGCUACUAAGACAUGCUGUUAACUCAGUCUGACUGGAAGAAUUUAGGACCACUGCAUCCUGUCUUAAUCCAAGGGUGGAUCCUUAGGGUGUUGACUGCUGCAGUUUCAAGCUUACAUCUGCACCCUGCAGAAUCCAGAGGAAGAGACAAUGCCUGUUCCAGUGGCUCUCAAGAAAUUCUUUUCCAGCCAGGCAUGGUGGCUCAUGCCUGUAAUCCCAGCACUUUGGUAGGCUAAGGUGGGUGAAUUGCUUGAGCUCAGGAGUUCGAGAUCAGCCUGUAUAACAUGGCGAAACCCCAUCUCUAUAAAAAAUACAAAAAUCAGCUGGGUGGAGUGGCGUACACCUUCACUCUCAGCUACUUGGGAGGCCGAGGCAGGAGGAUCGCUUGGGCCCAGCAGGUUCAGGCUGCAGUGAGCCAUAAUCACACCACAGGACUCCAGCCUGGGU
rnacentral:lncRNA from 10 species